AUGGGGGAUUUGCCUAUUAGAUAUUUGGUAAUGCCAGUGUCUGACUCUAGGAUCAGAAACACUCAUUGGAGUUGUGUUACCGAUAAAAUUGAGAAAAGAUGUGGGUGUUGGCAGGGGAAACUGCUAGGAUCCAUUGCUGGUAGGAUUACCCUGGUGCAAGCUUGCUUGACCAUUAUCCCAUUGUUUAUGAUGUCCUUUUAUGCUGUUCCAAAGGGAAUCAUUAAAAAAGCUGAUUUUUACAGGGCAAGACUGGUAUGGCAAGAUGAUGAAAAUGUUAGAAAAUAUCACUUAGUCAAUUGGAAAGAAUGUUGCCUACCCAGGGAAAUAGGGGGGCUAGGAAUUCUGAAUCUAGAAACCAUGAAUAUAGCCUUGUUAGCUAAAUGGUUCUGGAAAAUGGAAACAGAGGAGGGAAUGUGGCAAGAUAUUUUGAAAAGAAAAUAUGGGAAGAAUGAAUGCCUAGCUCUGAUGGAAAAAAAAGCGAGGAGAUUCUCAGUUCUGGACUAG
rnacentral:rRNA from 1 species